GAACGCACAUUGCGCCCCUUGGUAUUCCGAGGGGCAUGCCUAUUCGAGCGUCAUUAUCACCCCUCAAGCUUCGGCUUGGUGUUGAGGCCUGCUGUAAAGGCACCCUCUAAAAUCAGUGGCAGUGCUGUCAGGCUCUAAGCGUAGUAAUUUCAUCGCUAUAGGGUCCUGGUGGAUAUUCGUCAAAACCCCCCCAUUUUUUAAUGAUUGACCUCGGAUUAGGUAGGGAUACCCGCUGAACUUA
rnacentral:misc_RNA from 1 species